GGACAUGAGGGUGAUCUGGCUGUGACAUCUGUCACCCCACUGUCCGCCAGGGCUGAUCUGGCCGGUCGGGCCAGCUAGGCGGGGGUCUCCUUCCUCCCUCACCGCUCUGUGUGCGUCCUGCCCCUCCCGAAGCUGCAGGCUCCGCUGAAGAGCACGACCUUCCCCAAGAGGAGGACCGUGCUUUGGUCAGGGGUAUACGAGGAGCCGUGCUCCCCUGCUAGAACCUCCAAACGAGCUCUCACGGUCCAUUUGUAGCAGAAAGUAGGGUCGCCAAGCUUCCAAGACUCCAGCACACUCAAAUGAGGCGCUGCACGUGGCAGUCUGCCUUUCUGA
ensembl:misc_RNA 7SK 7SK RNA